rnacentral:rRNA from 1 species
GUGGUUAAGUUACUAAGGGCACACGGUGGAUGCCUUGGCGCUAGGAGCCGAAGAAGGACGCAGCGAACUGCGAUAAGCCUCGGGGAGCGGUAAGCACGCUUUGAUCCGGGGAUCUCCGAAUGGGGAAACCCACCAUCUGUAAUGGGAUGGUAUCCGUAUCUGAAUACAUAGGAUACGAGAAGGCAGACCCGGUGAACUGAAACAUCUAAGUAGCCGGAGGAAGAGAAAACAAUAGUGAUUCCGUCAGUAGUGGCGAGCGAACGCGGAAGAGCCUAAACCGUCGGGUUUACCCGGCGGGGUUGUGGGGCGUCUCACAUGGAGUUACAAAAGACGCGCGUAGGUGAACAGCUUGGGAAAGCUGACCAUAGAGCGUGAUAGUCGCGUAACCUAAACGCGCGUCUCUCCGAGACCAACCCCGAGUAGCGCGGGACACGUGAAAUCCCGUGUGAAUCUGGCAGGACCAUCUGCUAAGGCUAAAUACUACCUAGCGACCGAUAGUGAACCAGUACCGUGAGGGAAAGGUGAAAAGCACCCCGGGAGGGAGUGAAAUAGUACCUGAAACCGUGUGCUUACAAAUAGUCGGAGCCCGUUAAAAGGUGACGGCGUGCCUUUUGUAGAAUGAACCGGCGAGUUACGGUAGCGUGCG